ACAACGGCCCUUUUCAGGGCCACAGUUGAGUAAUUAAUUUAUUUAGU
rfam:Aedes aegypti strain Liverpool supercont1.136 genomic scaffold, whole genome shotgun sequence.